rnacentral:tmRNA from 1 species
GGGGAUGAUCGGUUUCGACAUCGGUCGCCGUCCCAGGGGAAGCGGGCCGAGGAUGCAGAGUUAUCUCGUUAACGCUCUCUGCAAACCCAUAGGUGCCGAUUCCAAGCGCACCGACUUCGCCCUCGCCGCCUGAGCGAGCCCGAAGUCUGUCAGCCUGAGCUAGUUCUCGACUCAGUGUCUGGCAUCAGCUAGAGAACUUGCUGCAACGUCUUGUCGAGGGGCGUUGUGGGACUCUCACUCGACUGGGCCUGUCGCGGAAUGUGUCAUUCCUUGCCGCGGGGCCGAGAAAAUCCGCAGGAUGACUGCGCCCGGAGAAGCCCUGGAUCGCCGUCGAUGGACGGGGGUUCAAUUCCCCCCAUCUCCACCA